rnacentral:lncRNA from 1 species
GAAGUCACUGUCCAUCAUAUAGUGCUUUAAUUUGAGAUGCCUCUUCUGGAAACCCAGCCACCAUGUUGUAAGGACGCUCAGAACACAUAAAAACGUGACAUUUAGAUAUACCAGCCAAUAGGAACACUGGCUAAAACCCAGCUAAGGUUUCAGCUAAGCAGCGAGCAUCAACCACCAAGUGUAAGAGUGAACAAGCCUUCAGAUAAUUCUAGCCUCCAGCCUUCAAGCUGUCUUAGGUAAUGCUGACUAGAGUAGAGAUGACUGUCCUCACAGGUUCCUGCCCAAAUUGCAGAUUUGUAGGCAAAGUAUGUGCUGUUAAUAUUAUAAGCCACAAAAUUUUGGGGUGGUUUGUUAUAUAAUAGAUAACCAGAGCACGGAAUCUCAGAAAUUAAAUGCAAUGUUACCAAUUUUAGAAUCAAAAAAGGUUUUCAAAGGAUGUCAUCUGAGAUUUUCAAAAUACAAAGCUGAAAUGUGUCC